rnacentral:rRNA from 1 species
CAUGGGGGAACCUGAUGCAGCAACGCCGCGUGAGCGAUGAAGGCCUUCGGGUCGUAAAGCUCUGUCCUAAGGGAAGAAAUUUGACGGUACCUUAGGAGGAAGCCCCGGCUAACUACGUGCCAGCAGCCGCGGUAAUACGA